AACAAUUACUCUCUCUAUUUUCUCUACUCUUCUUCUUGUUCUUUCUUGUUUUUAUAACAGGAACUUAGAACCAGGAGUUGUAAGCUGCUAAUUUUCUUAAUAUUAUCUUGUAUCAUGCCGGAUAUAGAGUUUGAAACCUUAAGGGUAAUAUUUUGAAUAAAAAACUUCAAAUUAGCCACUGCAAUUUGGACUAAACCAAAUCAUAUGAAUUGUGCGAGCCUAAACGAUUUGCUCCAAUUAUGGGCCUACUUGUUUAUUUUUUUAGCAAAUCGUUCAAGUGUGAAUGAGGUGCUGUUCCUACUACUUUUCCCUUACUAUAGAUUAUGUAGAAGAAGAUUUAUUGUAUGCCAAAACGAGAUGUCAUCCAGCCAAAUGCCAACAACAUACAAAAUCAUAUUUAUGGCAAAACAAAAUCUCGGGUGUCAUAAUGUUGUACGUUAGUGGAUGACUUAAGUUACAAUUCCUGUCCAGUAGUACUUACAUGUAUUGCCAUUUACUCUAUAGAGUUAAUGGACAUUACAUUGGCAGAGAACGUGAGGCUAUGGCUCUUGUUGGAAUGUCACUUAAGAGCAUCUGAUUUUUAGAUAGCUAUGGAUGAAUUCAGUUAAUCAUUUUUCUUGAGAUUCAUGUAACUUCCCACCCUUUAUUUAUUCAUUUUCUAUCUUUAUGGCUUGUAAUUUUUGUCAUUUUCUAUCUUUAUGGCUUGUAAUUUUUGUAACCUAAAAGCCACUGAUAUUCCAUCUUUAUUACCCUUAUUCAUUAUUAUUUAUUGCAUGGAAGACUUUAUCUUCUAUAAAUAGAGGUGGUCUUGCAUAUUUUUCUUAUGUACAAGAAAAUAUAGAGUUUACAAAAGAUAGUAAAAAAGAGAGUUUAUUAAUUAAAGGGAGGCAUUUUUUGUGGAGCUUUUAACUCAACUCUUGUCCAGGGUUGUUGAGUUGUUUUUUGUGAGAAAGUUGUUGUAUCCUGGAGGAAAAAAUUCAAGAAUAUUACUAUUGGAUCGGUUGAUUCGUUCGUUGCAGUGGGCUUGAUUCUCCUUAAAUAGAGCGAGAUAUCUGCACCUCAACCAAAAAAAAGAUAUUAUUGUAUUUUCUUCAUUUCUUUUGUAUUUUUUUGUUGUAAUUUUUGUAAUAUUUCACCAAUAAUAUUAAGGAGAUUCAAUGAAAACAAUUGAAAAAUCAGGGGAUGUCAAGAUGGGAGAUCUUAGUAAGCCAUUUCGGCUUAACGGUACUCAUUUGAAGAGAUGCAAAGGUUAAGUGCUUUUAUACUUAAGUCUUCUUAAUGUUUCUUAUGUGUUAACUGAGGAGAAUCCAAACAAAGUAGAUAACUCUUCUAUGAAUGAAGACGAAUAUAUAUCUCUUCUUGAGAAAGUUAAAAAAUAGGAUGGUGACUCCUAGAAGUAGUAAGCAUGACACUGAGGAGGCGGAAGUGAAAAAAAUGUGGCUAGAAAUUUUUUUCAUUUUUAAAUGGUGGACAAAAAAUCAAUGGUAGACCAAGCUCAGGAAUUCAUAAUAAUUGUUAGAGAGCUCCAGUUCCAGGAAGUCAAAAUUGGAGAUAACCUUAUUGUUUGUGGCAUAAUAGAUAAGCUUCCACCUUCUUGGAAGGAAUUUCAAAAAACUAUACGCCACAAGUAAAGUAAACUUAUCUUGAGACUUUGA